CCCUGCUGGGGCUAAAGUGCUGACAGUGCAGAUAGUGUCCUUUCUGUGCUACCGCACUGUGGGUACUUGCUGCUCCGGCAGGG
rnacentral:pre_miRNA from 10 species